AUCGUCUUCGAUCGCUUCGGUGCCCAGUAAACACGGUUCCCCAGUAACGGACCAGGAAAGAAAUUGUUUGAAUCAAAAUAGAGCCCGUACAACACCCUUUCCUCAGGUCAUCUGCCCUCACUACCAAAUUUCUGAACAAGAUGCUCUUAAAAAACGCAAUUUAGUACUGUGGUCCCCAACCCCUGGGCCUUGGACUGGUAUCCAUCUGUGUGGCCUGUUAGGAACUGGGCUGCAGGGCAGGAGGAGUACUGUGUUGAAUUAAAUUAUAUUUUACUAACAGACUAUCAAAAGAAGGUACAGGCAAGUUGAAAAGUGGUCUGAUAAUCACUAUGGCAAGUGAAAUGAUGAACUUCUUUGAAUAAUUUAGAAGGCAAGACUAUUUAAAAAAUAUAUAUUUUUUCAUAUUCAAAAACAUUAAAA